GCUCAGAGCUGGCAGGCAGCAGAGAUGGCAGCAGCAUGGCUGGGCUCUUUGCUUUUCUUCAAAGCCAUAGUGCCUCCUCCUGUCCUCCAGCACUUGUUUUGUCUCUGUUCCCAGCUCCUCUCCUCACGCACCAUUCGAGUGGCUCUUGUCUAUUUAUUUCCUCUAAUGGCAUCAGGCUACAAGUGGCUGAACAGUUAAAAUGAACACCAUCGAGCUGGCUGUGGCUUUUUUUCCCCUUGCAUUCACUCUGGAAAUGGGGAUCUUGGCUCUUCUCUCACUGGAUUCCCAAAGGACAAUGCCUGCUCCCUUCCUUCUCAGCCCUUUGACCAAACUUCAGCCAAAUCAACCUGCAGAGAGGCUUUGAAAUGAGGACACCACAUUCCUGUGGGAGUGCCACCUUAGGAACAGCAACUACCACAGGCAGGCUCCUCAGAAGGUAAACUGCCCAACUUCAGCCAAAGAACCAAAAAGGUUCCCUCCUCAUCUCUGAACUGUUUUGCAGUGGCACUGGCAAGCUGAGCACCCCAAGAGCUGAGCUGCAUGGAUCCACCCUGCCCAUAACCAUGCAGACAGGACACUCCAAGCUACUCCCUGCCUCCUCUUCUACCCUACCCCAGUGGUUGCUGAGCGGACUCCAGCUCCAUCCUCCCCUCCAGCUUCCUUCCCUCACAGCUGCUUUCUCCUUCUGCUGCUGCUCCCCUCUGGCUCCCUGCGCUCUGCCUGCGAGCCGCACAUAACUCUCCCGUGAAAUAUACCCAGUGUAAAUAUAUAACA